GUGGGCUGCCAUUUGGAGGAAGAACUGGAAACCAGACACUCCUAUUUGGAUCCAUUUAGGAUGCCGAGGAGGAAAAUGAGCUGCAGAAGGAUCAAAUGACCUGCCUGAGGUGCCCUAUCUGUUGGCACAGGCCAGAGCACAUGGUGGAUGCAGGGGCACCCCCUUCCCUUCUCCUCCCCUCCGGCUCUUUGCUGACAGGAUUCUCUCUUGCCUUCUCUGAUGGUACCUGUGCUACGUGCCACAUCCUUUCCCUCAAUGAAUUUCAGGCAGUGGAAGGGGCCGCAGAAGUUCCUUGACUCAUGAGGCGAGGCAUUCAGCGGCCUCGUGACACCUCCCAGGAUCUGCAGUCAUUGGGCUGCACUUGCCAAUAGCAACACCUGGCAAAAAUAGCUAAGAAGCAGAGCGGCCUGGGCUCAGGAGCUGAGCAACCCCUGACUGGCCAGAUGGAGACUGUGUUGAGCUCUGCCCAAGCCCUGUGAUCCUGGAAAACAGUGAAGUUAAGGAGCCAUCUGCAUUCUAGGGAAUGGCCCACUGCAAAAAAUAGCCUUCCUUAUAGGACGUAGAGGACUCAUGAUGUCCCCUCAUUUAUGAUGAGCCAACACACAGCCCUUCCAAAUUCCGAUUCUUUGCUUCAUAACUGAUGAGCUGUUUUGUUCCCACUGGUCAAUCGGAACAACAUUCUUGCUAACCAGAUUUUGGUUCAGCUCUUCUCCCUCCCCAUGUACCUGCCCUGUGUCCUGUCCUCAUCCUGAGCCAGCACACACCCCUCCUUAGUAGCUCCUCCUGCAGCAGGCUGACCUCGGACUCUCCCUGAUCCAUUGUCCAAAUAUAUCACCCUUUCACCCUACAUCCUCACACCCCAUUCUUUCUAGUUUUGUUCAUUCCUCCCUGUGAAAGAUGAACCCUCUUUGCCUAACCCCGGACCUGCUUGCAGACUGCUAUGAUGGCCAGAGUGUCCCCCCUACUGCAAGAGUCCCUUCUGUCCCUUGCAACAUCUUUUAAAUAAAAUCUCUCUUUACCAAG
rnacentral:lncRNA from 1 species